rnacentral:rRNA from 5 species
CUGACCUCAAAUCAGGUAGGACUACCCGCUGAACUUAAGC